rnacentral:lncRNA from 1 species
CUGUCUGUUUUUUAAACAACAGAGCUACCAUAUCCAAAAGCAUGGAGAGCAGAGAGGAAGAAGUAGCUACCAGCUCUGUCUGGAGAAGGCUGGUGGCCCAGAAAAGUUACACAAAGUCACCUCAGCACACGGCGAGGACGAUGGGCCUGGAUGAAUGCUCAUUCCUCUCAGAGCAGUGCCAGAAUGUUGGCGGUGAAUACAAGGACGAGGUGCUCCAGACGCAGGGGUGAUGACAAGACGGUUUCCAUGGGAGCUGCCUGCAACACUGCAGAGAGACCCAGCAGGCCGCGGGAAACGUAGUUUGGAUGCUCAAAGGGUAAACAGAUUUGGGAGUCAGAUGUGCUAAGGUGAGAGUAAAACUAUGGAAGUAGGAGAGGUCAUCCAGAGAGUGUGUGCAAAGUGAGCCGAGGGGAAAGCUGAUGAGAGCACCGUGGGGAAUGCCACAUGGAAGGGCCAGGGGGAACCUGGAAUUCUUGGGGAGUUUCUAGUGAUUUGAUCCAUAAAUCACAGAAUCAAUUUUAUCUAAUACUGUAUGAUGAGGAUUUUAGGCUGGUUAAUUUUAAAACUGCAGAGGAGAAGCAGGCUCCGAGGACUGGAAUUUGCUUGCCCUUGGAGAGACAUUUGCAUUUAUGAAGGAAAUCUCCAUGCGUCCCCCUCUGCACCAGGAAGAAGGGAGAUGACCUUGUCUCUAGAAACUCUUAAUGGGGAAGGCAAGAACUUGGGUUGGUUGCUGUCUGGCAAUCUCACGUAACUGAUUUAGGGUGGUGGCUUCUGACCUUU